rnacentral:rRNA from 1 species
UUAAGCGACUAAGCGUACACGGUGGAUGCCCUGGCAGUCAGAGGCGAUGAAGGACGUGCUAAUCUGCGAUAAGCGUCGGUAAGGUGAUAUGAACCGUUAUAACCGGCGAUUUCCGAAUGGGGAAACCCAGUGUGAUUCGUCACACUAUCAUUAACUGAAUCCAUAGGUUAAUGAGGCGAACCGGGGGAACUGAAACAUCUAAGUACCCCGAGGAAAAGAAAUCAACUGAGAUUCCCCCAGUAGCGGCGAGCGAACGGGGAGCAGCCCAGAGCCUGAAUCAGUGUGUGUGUUAGUGGAAGCGUCUGGAAGGCGCGCGAUACAGGGUGACAGCCCUGUACACAAAAAUGCACAUGCUGUGAGCUCGAUGAGUAGGGCGGGCCACGUGGUAUCCUGUCUGAAUAUGGGGGGACCAUCCUCCAAGGCUAAAUACUCCUGACUGACCGAUAGUGAACCAGUACCGUGAGGGAAAGGCGAAAAGAACCCCGGCGAGGGGAGUGAAAAAGAACCUGAAACCGUGUACGUACAAGCAGUGGGAGCACGCUUAGGCGUGUGACUGCGUACCUUUUGUAUAAUGGGUCAGCGACUUAUAUUCUGUAGCAAGGUUAACCGAAUAGGGGAGCCGAAGGGAAACCGAGUCUUAACUGGGCGUUAAGUUGCAGGGUAUAGACCCGAAACCCGGUGAUCUAGCCAUGGGCAGGUUGAAGGUUGGGUAACACUAACUGGAGGACCGAACCGACUAAUGUUGAAAAAUUAGCGGAUGACUUGUGGCUGGGGGUGAAAGGCCAAUCAAACCGGGAGAUAGCUGGUUCUCCCCGAAAGCUAUUUAGGUAGCGCCUCGUGAAUUCAUCUCCGGGGGUAGAGCACUGUUUCGGCAAGGGGGUCAUCCCGACUUACCAACCCGAUGCAAACUGCGAAUACCGGAGAAUGUUAUCACGGGAGACACACGGCGGGUGCUAACGUCCGUCGUGAAGAGGGAAACAACCCAGACCGCCAGCUAAGGUCCCAAAGUCAUGGUUAAGUGGGAAACGAUGUGGGAAGGCCCAGACAGCCAGGAUGUUGGCUUAGAAGCAGCCAUCAUUUAAAGAAAGCGUAAUAGCUCACUGGUCGAGUCGGCCUGCGCGGAAGAUGUAACGGGGCUAAACCAUGCACCGAAGCUGCGGCAGCGACGCUUAUGCGUUGUUGGGUAGGGGAGCGUUCUGUAAGCCUGUGAAGGUGUGCUGUGAGGCAUGCUGGAGGUAUCAGAAGUGCGAAUGCUGACAUAAGUAACGAUAAAGCGGGUGAAAAGCCCGCUCGCCGGAAGACCAAGGGUUCCUGUCCAACGUUAAUCGGGGCAGGGUGAGUCGACCCCUAAGGCGAGGCCGAAAGGCGUAGUCGAUGGGAAACAGGUUAAUAUUCCUGUACUUGGUGUUACUGCGAAGGGGGGACGGAGAAGGCUAUGUUGGCCGGGCGACGGUUGUCCCGGUUUAAGCGUGUAGGCUGGUUUUCCAGGCAAAUCCGGAAAAUCAAGGCUGAGGCGUGAUGACGAGGCACUACGGUGCUGAAGCAACAAAUGCCCUGCUUCCAGGAAAAGCCUCUAAGCAUCAGGUAACAUCAAAUCGUACCCCAAACCGACACAGGUGGUCAGGUAGAGAAUACCAAGGCGCUUGAGAGAACUCGGGUGAAGGAACUAGGCAAAAUGGUGCCGUAACUUCGGGAGAAGGCACGCUGAUAUGUAGGUGAAGUCCCUCGCGGAUGGAGCUGAAAUCAGUCGAAGAUACCAGCUGGCUGCAACUGUUUAUUAAAAACACAGCACUGUGCAAACACGAAAGUGGACGUAUACGGUGUGACGCCUGCCCGGUGCCGGAAGGUUAAUUGAUGGGGUCAGCGCAAGCGAAGCUCUUGAUCGAAGCCCCGGUAAACGGCGGCCGUAACUAUAACGGUCCUAAGGUAGCGAAAUUCCUUGUCGGGUAAGUUCCGACCUGCACGAAUGGCGUAAUGAUGGCCAGGCUGUCUCCACCCGAGACUCAGUGAAAUUGAACUCGCUGUGAAGAUGCAGUGUACCCGCGGCAAGACGGAAAGACCCCGUGAACCUUUACUAUAGCUUGACACUGAACAUUGAGCCUUGAUGUGUAGGAUAGGUGGGAGGCUUAGAAGUGUGGACGCCAGUCUGCAUGGAGCCGACCUUGAAAUACCACCCUUUAAUGUUUGAUGUUCUAACGUUGACCCGUAAUCCGGGUUGCGGACAGUGUCUGGUGGGUAGUUUGACUGGGGCGGUCUCCUCCUAAAGAGUAACGGAGGAGCACGAAGGUUGGCUAAUCCUGGUCGGACAUCAGGAGGUUAGUGCAAUGGCAUAAGCCAGCUUGACUGCGAGCGUGACGGCGCGAGCAGGUGCGAAAGCAGGUCAUAGUGAUCCGGUGGUUCUGAAUGGAAGGGCCAUCGCUCAACGGAUAAAAGGUACUCCGGGGAUAACAGGCUGAUACCGCCCAAGAGUUCAUAUCGACGGCGGUGUUUGGCACCUCGAUGUCGGCUCAUCACAUCCCGGGGCUGAAGUAGGUCCCAAGGGUAUGGCUGUUCGCCAUUUAAAGUGGUACGCGAGCUGGGUUUAGAACGUCGUGAGACAGUUCGGUCCCUAUCUGCCGUGGGCGCUGGAGAACUGAGGGGGGCUGCUCCUAGUACGAGA